CAGUAGCCACGGUAAUACGUAGGGUGCAAGCGUUAAUCGGAAUUACUGGGCGUAAAGCGUGCGCAGGCGGUUUGUUAAGACAGAUGUGAAAUCCCCGGGCUCAACCUGGGAACUGCAUUUGUGACUGGCAAGCUAGAGUCUGGCAGAGGGGGGUGGAAUUCCGCGUGUAGCAGUGAAAUGCGUAGAUAUGCGGAGGAACACCGAUGGCGAAGGCAGCCCCCUGGGCCAACACUGACGCUCAUGCACGAAAGCGUGGGGAGCAAACAGGAUUAGAUACCCCGGUAGUCCCUGUCUCUUAUAC
rnacentral:rRNA from 1 species